CAAGAUUGGUGGUAUUGGAACUGUCCCAGUUGGUCGUGUAGAGACUGGCGUAAUCAAGCCUGGUAUGGUUGUGACCUUUGGCCCUACUGGUUUGACAACUGAAGUCAAGUCUGUUGAGAUGCACCACGAAGCUCUCCAGGAGGCGCUCCCUGGAGACAAUGUUGGGUUCAAUGUUAAGAAUGUUGCUGUUAAGGAUCUUAAGCGUGGUUAUGUUGCCUCAAACUCCAAGGAUGACCCAGCUAAGGGGGCAGCCAGUUUCACUGCCCAGGUCAUCAUCAUGAACCAUCCUGGCCAGAUUGGAAAUGGAUAUGCACCAGUGCUUGACUGCCACACUUCCCACAUUGCUGUCAAGUUUGCUGAGAUCUUGACCAAGGUUGA
rnacentral:misc_RNA from 1 species